rnacentral:rRNA from 1 species
AAGCGGUGGAGCAUGUGGUUUAAUUCGACGCAACGCGAAGAACCUUACCAGGGCUUGACAUCCCCUGACCGCGUAUGAAAGUACGUUUUCACCCUCGGGUGACAGGGAGACAGGUGGUGCAUGGUUGUCGUCAGCUCGUGUCGUGAGAUGUUGGGUUAAGUCCCGCAACGAGCGCAACCCCUACGUUUAGUUGCUAACGCGUGAAGGCGAGCACUCUAGACGAACUGCCGUUGACAAAACGGAGGAAGGUGGGGAUGACGUCAAAUCAUCAUGCCCCUUAUGUUCUGGGCUACACACGUGCUACAAUGGCCGGUACAGACGGACGCAAAGCCGCGAGGUGGAGCAAAUCCUAAAAAGCCGGUCUCAGUUCGGAUUGCAGGCUGCAAUUCGCCUGCAUGAAGUCGGAAUCGCUAGUAAUCGCAGGUCAGCAUACUGCGGUGAAUACGUUCCCGGGCCUU